GUAAAGAGGGAAGGGGAGAAAAAAAGAGAGAAAAGCUUGUGGGAGCUUCAAUCCUUGAUAACUUGAGUUAGGAUUGAUGAAAUCAAUCCAUUCCAAAGCCUAAAGUGUGUCAAAUUUCAUCCUCUACAAAACCCAUAAGAUUGUUCACCAUGGGAAGCUCUUGGGAAGGAGAUUUCAGCCUUCUAAAUCGCAGGUGUACCUAGGGACUGAAAAAGAUCGGAACCUUCUUGAAGAUAUAUAACUAACUUGUGCCACAAGUAAGCGGAUUGAAAAAGCUUCAAGGGGAACACAGUUAAUUGAAGAGCCUCAUGGGACCAGGACACUAACCGUGGCUAGAGGCAUUAGUAUGAGGAUGUGGAGUUCUGGGUGGUCGGAUGCUACUAUUUGUUUUAGACGUAUUUUUGGAAAAGAUGUAUUGUUGCAUAGUGUUCAUAUUCGAUACAUGUACAUUUAUGUAUUCAGGCAUGAUGAUAUGACUAUGUAGUAUUCAAUUAUGUUAUGUAUUGGAUUGCAUGCUAUUAGAUUUGUGGCACGAAGCCAAGUUCAGCAUGCGCCCAUA